UACGUAGGGGGCAAGCGUUGUCCGGAUUUAUUGGGCGUAAAGCGCUCGCAGGCGGUUCGUUGCGUCGUGCGUGAAAGACCCCGGCUCAACUGGGGAGGGUCGUGCGAUACGGGCGAGCUAUGAGUGCAGGAGAGGGAAGUGGAACUCCGGGAGUAGCGGUGAAAUGCGUAGAGACCCGGAGGAACACCAGUGGCGAAGGCGGCUUCCUGGUCUGCAACUGACGCUGUGGCGCGAAAGCUAGGGGAGCAAACGGG
rnacentral:rRNA from 1 species